rnacentral:rRNA from 1 species
CCGGUGUAAAUCGGAGGAAGGUUGAAGGAUGACGUCAAGUCAGCAUGGCAGUUACGUCUGGGGCUUCACACAUGCUACAAUGGGCGCAACAAAGGGCAGCAAAACCGCGAGGUGGAGCCAAUCCCAAAAAUACGCCCUCAGUUCAGAUUGCAGUCUGCAACUCGACUGCAUGAAGGCGGAAUCGCUAGUAAACGCAGGUCAGCUAUACUGCGUUGAAUACGUUCCCGGGUCUUGUACACACCGCCCGUCAAGUCACCUGAAUUGUCUUCACCCGAAGUCCGUGGCCUAACCUGCAAAGGAGGGAGCGGCCGNAAGGUGAGGGGGGUAAGGGGGACU